UAGUUACAAGACAGUAAGACAGUAGUGC
rnacentral:piRNA from 1 species